ACCAGCACGGUCAGCACGGUCUGCACGGCUUCUUCAUACACAUCCCGGGCCUGGAACGGGAUAAACCCAGUCCAGGUGUGUCAGUCAGUCAGUCCCAGGUGUGUCAGUCAGUCCAGGUGUGUCAGUCAUUCCCCAGGUGUGUCAGUCAGUCCCAGCUGUGCCAAGCUGUGUUCCAGGUGUGCCCAGGUGUGUCAAUCUGUCCCAGGUGCCCCCAGCUGUGUCCCAGGUGUGUCAGUCAGUCUGUCCCAGGUGUGUCAGUCCCUCCCAGGUGUGCCCAGGUUUGUCAGUCAGUCUGUCCCAGGUGUGUCAGUCUGUCCCAGGUGUGUCCAGGUGUGUCAGUCAGUCCCUCCCCAGGUGCACCCAGCAGUGCCCAGGUGUGUCAGUCUGUCCCAGGUGUGUCCAGGUGUGUCAGUCAGUCCCUCCCCAGGUGCACCCAGCAGUGCCCAGGUGUGUCAGUCAGUCCCAGGUGUGUCAGUCUGUCCCAGCUGUGUCCAGGUGUGUCAGUCAGUCCCUCCCCAGGUGCACCCAGCUGUGCCCAGGUGUGUCAGUCUGUCCCAGGUGUGUCAGUCUGUCCCAGGUGUGUCCAGGUGUGUCAGUCAGUCUGUCCCAGGUGUGUCAGUCCCUCCCAGGUGUGCCCAGGUGUGUCAGUCUGUCCCAGGUGCCCCCAGCUGUGUCCCAGGUGUGUCAGUCAGUCUAUCCCAGCUGUGUCAGUCCCUCCCAGGUGUGCCCAGGUUUGUCAGUCAGUCUGUCCCAGCUGUGUCCCAGGUGUGUCAGUCAGUCCCAGGUGUGUCAGUCAGUCUGUCCCAGCGGUGCCCAGCUGUAUCAGUCAGUCCCCAGGUGUGUCACUCAGUCCCAGCUGUGCCCCCAGCUGUGCCCAGGUGUGUCAGUCAGUCUGUCCCAGGUGUGUCAGUCUGUCUGUCCCAGGUGUGUCAGUCAGUCUGUCCCAGGUGUGUCAGUCAAUCCCAGGUGUGUCAGUCUGUCUGUCCCAGGUGUGUCAGUCUGUCCCAGGUGUGUCAGUCAGUCCAGGCGUAUCAGUCAGUCUGUCCCAGGUGUCAAUCCCUCCCAGCUGUAUCAGUCAGUCCAGGUGUGUCAGUCUGUCUGUCCCAGGUGUGUCAGUCUGUCCCAGCCGAGCCCCCAGCCGUGCCCAGGUGUGUCAGUCAGUCUGUCCCAGGUGUGUCAGUCAGUCCCAGGUGUGUCAAUCAGUCCAGGUGUGUCAGUCAGUCUGUCCCAGCCGUGCCCAGGUGCCCCCAGCCGUGCCCAGGUGUGUCAGUCUGUCUGUCCCAGGUGUGUCAGUCAGUCUGUCCCAGGUGUGUCAGUCAGACCAGGUGUGUCAGUCAAUCCCAGGUGUGUCAGUCUGUCCCAGCCGAGCCCCCAGCCGUGCCCAGGUGUGUCAGUCAAUCCCAGGUGUGUCAGUCAGUCUGUCCCAGGUGUGUCAGUCAGUCAGUCCAGGUGUGCCCAGGUGCCCCCGGCCGUGCCCAGGUGUGUCACCUUCUCCAGGUGCCCGCAGCGCACGUAGCAGUCGGCCAGGG
rnacentral:lncRNA from 1 species